CUCUCUGUGUACAAUUUCACAACAAAGAAGAGAAGCGUCAACAGCUGGCACGAUAGGCAGAGGGGUCUCCCCCUGCAUGAAGAUCCAAUUUCCUCCCGGGUGGUGGAUGAAGCUAAGAAGAUAAAAAAUGACCUUUCACCUUCGGGAACAGUAAUAGCGACCUCUCUGGAGCCUCUGUGGAGGGUGCAUCAGGAAGAAACAAGGCCAGACCACCAGUUGGCAGACUGUUGAAGUCAGGAAGUUGUCUAAGCCAGAAGCGAUGAUGCCAUGAACCAGGCCUCUUACGGAGUUGUGAUGUGCCCUGGAAUGCCUCAUCUCAGGGAAGGCAAGAGGAGUCUCUCUUAAGCAAGUGUGGUGUCUGCUUCUAGUCCGGUUUAUGGCAGAGCUGAGAACUGUCUUUGAAAUUAACAACAGAUGUGCAUAAAUCUUCAGUUACCUAGCAACUAA